AUGGGUAUUGCUAAGGUAUGGAAAGGGCCUUCUAGGAGAUUAAAAAGACCGCUGAUUCUUUUGCUCCUAUCCGAAGAGGAAAGGAACAUGAAUAACCAAGAAUGAAGUAACAGCCUAAGGAACUAUCAUUAAAGGGGUACUCUGGUGGAAAAAAAUUUUUUCUCUAAUUAUCUGGUGCCAGAAAGUUAUACAGAUUGUAAAUUACUUCUAUUUAAAAAUCUUAAUCCAUCCAGUACUUAUCAGCUGCUGUAUACUACAGAUUGUAGUCUGUGUAAACAUAUUCUUAUGUCUGGGGUCUACAAGAGGCUGCAAACGCGUUUCCCCUUAUUAUGUGCACCCUGCACCGGAGUGGAGAAGAAAGAGA